rnacentral:rRNA from 1 species
AACGAACGCUGGCGGCAGGCUUAACACAUGCAAGUCGAACGCGUCCUUCGGGGUGAGUGGCAGACGGGUGAGUAACGCGUGGGAACGUGCCCUUCAGUUCGGGAUAACCCAGGGAAACUUGGGCUAAUACCGGAUACGUGCGAGAGCAGAAAGAUUUAUCGCUGAAGGAUCGGCCCGCGUCUGAUUAGCUAGUUGGUGGGGUAAUGGCCCACCAAGGCGACGAUCAGUAGCUGGUCUGAGAGGAUGAUCAGCCACAUUGGGACUGAGACACGGCCCAAACUCCUACGGGAGGCAGCAGUGGGGAAUAUUGGACAAUGGGCGCAAGCCUGAUCCAGCCAUGCCGCGUGAGUGAUGAAGGCCUUAGGGUUGUAAACCUCUUUCAGCACCGACGAAGCGCAAGUGACGGUAGGUGCAGAAGAAGGACCGGCCAACUACGUGCCAGCAGCCGCAGUAA